CCUGCCGGAGNUUACUGCUAUCGGAGUUCGAUUAANCCAUGCGAGUCUAAAGGUUUCUUCGGAAGCCUUGGCGGACUGCUCAGUAACACGUGGAUAACCUNCCCUUGGGACUGGAAUAACCCCGGGAAACUGGGGAUAAUACCGGAUAGAUCAGGGAUGCUGGAAUGCACCUUGAUCCAAAGNUCCGGCGCCCAAGGAUGGGUCUGCGGCCUAUCAGGUAGUAGUGGGUGUAACGUACCUACUAGCCAACGACGGGUACGGGUUGUGAGAGCAAGAGCCCGGAGAUGGAUUCUGAGACACGAAUCCAGGCCCUACGGGGUGCAGCAGGCGCGAAACCUUUACAAUGUGCGAAAGCAUGAUAAGGGAACUCCGAGUGCCAGUAUCUAAUACUGGCUGUCCUUGUGCCUAAAACGCACAAGAUAGCAAGGGCCGGGUAAGACCGGUGCCAGCCGCCGCGGUAACACCGGCGGCCCGAGUGGUAGCCGCUAUUAUUGGGUCUAAAGGGUCCGUAGCCGGUUCGAUAAGUCCUCUGGGAAAUCUGGUUGCUUAACAAUCAGACUGCCAAGGGAUACUGUCGAACUUGAGACCGGGAGAGGUAAGAGGUACUUCAGGGGUAGGAGUGAAAUCUUGUAAUCCCUGGGGGACCAUCUGUGGCGAAGGCGUCUUACCAGAACGGGUCUGACGGUGAGGGACGAAAGCUGGGGGCGCAAACCGGAUUAGAUACCCGGGUAGUCCCAGCCGUAAACGAUGCUCGCUAUGUGUCAGGUACGGUGUGACCGUAUCUGGUGCCGUAGGGAAGCCGUGAAGCGAGCCACCUGGGAAGUACGGUCGCAAGACUGAAACUUAAAGGAAUUGGCGGG
rnacentral:rRNA from 1 species